CCUACGGGAGGCAGCAGUGGGGAAUCUUGGACAAUGGGGGAAACCCUGAUCCAGCCAUGCCGCGUGAGUGAUGAAGGUCUUAGGGUUGUAAAGCUCUUUCACCGGGGAAGAUAAUGACGGUACCCGGAGAAGAAGCCCCGGCUAACUCCGUGCCAGCAGCCGCGGUAAU
rnacentral:rRNA from 1 species